AGCGUCCAGAGUAGUGAUGCUGGACGGGCAGGCAGGUGCGGGCAGCGAUCGGUUGAAGAGCAUGCAUUUAGUUUUACUUGCAUUUAAGAGCAGUUGGAGGCCACGGAAGGAGAGUUGUACUUGUACUUUGUAAAACAAUAUUUCGGAGUUGAUCAAAUAUUUUGUUAGCCCACAGCAGACAGAUUAGAGUCUUCUCUUUUCAGCAGGAGCCAUUUGGUUUCCAACCUGUGUUUUCCCGUGAUUGUAUUUGAAAUAUUGCGAAAGGCCUGUUUUGUCAGCAUGCUGUUCACUGACAGAUUUGCAGGAGUUCCCGACAGUAGGCUAUGCCUUGUUAUUGGGCUACACACAAUCCAGAGCUAGGCUAAUUAAAAAAAAUAAACUAUUGAUCCUCUGUGGCUAAAUUAUAGGCCUUCUCGUGGUGUAGUAGGUAUCUGAACAGACAGCAGUUAUUCUAUAACUUUGGCAAAUGUAUUUCAAUUUAUCAGGGGUGCUGCAGCUCCUCCAGAAUCCUUCGCGCGGAGAUGAUUCUAUAAAGAAAUAAAUGCACUUCUAUAAAGAAGUGCAACCCUGGAGAGAUGAGAGUUGCAGGGUCAUGUCUAUCAGAGCAGAAAGAGGGAGAGAGAUCAUAGAAAGUGAAUCUCAUUCUAGUUCUGUGAGAGAUACAGGAGCGCUACUCACACUACUCACAAAGACGUGGCCACGCACUUAACAAGAGAACAUCCCUGCUCAUCCCCUGCCUCUGAUUUGGCGGACUCACUAAACACAAAUGCUUAAUUUGUUAUUAUGUCAGUGUUUUUGAGUGCCGCUGACUAUCCGUCAAUUAAAAAAACAAGAAAAUGGGGCCGUCUGGUUUGCCUGAUAUAAGGAAUUUGAAAUGAUUUAUACUUUAACUUUUGAUACUUAAGUAUAUGUUUGAAAUUACAUUUACUUUUAAUACUUAACUAUAUUUACAUCACUUUUAGACUUUUACCCAAGUAGUAUUUUACUGGGUGACUUUCCCUUUUACUUGAGUCAUUUUUCUGUUAAGGUAUCGUUACUUUAACACAAGUAUGACAAUUGGGUAUUUUUUCCACCACUGACAAGGCCACUGAUCCAUAAUAAUCAAUGAUAAUAGUCCUAUAAGCACUACAAGCGUGCCGCUAGAGGCCAAGGGUAACCCCACACUUAUAACAAUAAUCCACAUCAGUAGGAUAAAUGAACUGCACCAAUGUUCUUGUUCCAGCUGUAUCGGUUCGAUCCUGUUCUGGAUUCACGAGGACAAUUGUCAGUCUCACACUUUUAAUUGGUUCGAUGAAACACCAUUACAUCAGGAUUCGAUGUGGUUUGACUGAUAUUGAGUCAGGGAUGUGGCAAAGCAAGCCAAACAUAUCCCUUCCACUGUCACGCAGCUAUUCUAGAGUUGGAGGGCAAGGGAGACAGAUGCAUAGCAACAAGAUGAGAGGCUAAUAAACUGUCCAGAAUAACUUAACAGCUUAACAGAUACUUAAUUGAGACAAUUACUUUCCCCUUUCAGCAGAAACAACUUUGGGUUAGUUAAUUGGAAACAUUUAAGAUUUUUUUAAACCCAGACUUUUUGGACGUUUAGGCAUUUGUGGUACGCUUAUCUUGCUGGACUUCUUAUUAAUUUCUCAUUCAGACAGAACAGAAGUAACAAGGGUAACAUACUGACAGAGUGAUGGUUGUUCAUCUUCAGCUCUGGAGCUAUGAUCUCUGAGGCUGACAGACAGGGAGCAGUUAGACCCAAGAGGUCGCCAUCAGACGGGCACAGGGAUAGGGACAGGGACAGGGACCUCAGCCCCAGACGGAGAGCAGAAGCUGACCAAAACUAUUUACAGGAGAGACAUCAAGAGGGCAUCAAUGACCUCCCUGCAGGGAAGAGACAAAUGAUGGAGAAGUUUUUCACUCCUGUUCAUAGUCCUCCUCCAGGUGGGAUCACAUCACAGAAGCACCGCCAUCACCGGGAUCAAGAAAAGGAGAUACACAGCUACAGGAGGUCACGGAACAAUGAUAGACGCAGCAGUGAACGCCACGGUCACCACCAUCACCGUGGUAACCAUUUCCAAGAUGACCAGGAGCAAUCCCAUAGACGUCACCAUCAUCAUCCUCAGCACCUUCAUCACGAUGACGAGAUGUCGGAUCACCACACCACCGUCACCCUCUCCAGAGCAUCUUCCUCCUCCCUCUCAUCUUCCUCCUCUUCCUCUUCCUCCGACUCUUCCACCGAAUGGUCCGGCAUUGACGACAAGUUCUCCCUGAAGCACGCCAGCCGGCCGCAGCAUACCAUGUCCUGCUCCAACAUUGCAGGAGGACGACAGUUCCGGGAGGAUGACAGUGAGCUGCAGGUGUAUGCCACGGUCAAACAGGGGCGAAUGCACGGAGGAGGAAGCCCUGGGACCAACCAUCGGGCCCAGGGGAGGGGAGGACAAGAGCCCAGCUACUCCGAGCUCAACCGGGGCCAUAGCCGCAGUGAAGAGGGGUUGCUGCAGAAUACAGGCACUGACAGAGGGAAAGCACGGACACCCCCACACCUGAAGCACGGAUCCCUCUACAAGACAGCCAGCCUGGGCCGUAGCCUGGCCUUCAGUGAAGAGGUCCUGGCUGGGCCAAAGAGGGCGGUGUCCUCGAUCCAGCUCCCCAGUAAAGGCAUCCUGAAAAACAAGGAGGCGCCGCCGGACAUCCGCAAGGCCAAGUCCAUGGAGGUGCUGUCUUCCCGGGUAGCAGGCAAGACAGCAGGGCCCAAGGGGAAGCAGGAUGUGGAGGCUCUGAAGGAUGCAGCCAGGCAGAGCAUGGUGAAGGGGAAGAUACAGUUCUCUGCCUUCCUGGAUGAGAUCACUAAACAGGUCAUCAGCCCCGCCCGUCUCAAUACUCUGGGGGUACCUGUCGAGACUGUAGGACCGGGUCCAGCCAAAACCCCAGCAUCCCCCAAAUCUCAACUGAAAAGUCAGCCCCAGCUUCCCUUGAAAAAGCAGGGAGAUGGGCAGGGGGAGGAGAGGGAAACGGUUACUAAACCUAGAAAACUGAGGAAUGACUCUGACACACGGUCACGGAAAAUAUCUCUCCCUACAAAGUUUGGGUAUGAAAGCAAGAACCACACUCCUUGUCUAGGCAGCCCCCCAACCCACCACUCCAGCCAACCCUACCCGCCCCACCCACCGGCUGGCUAUGAAGACCAACCAGCCUCCCUGCCUGACUUCCAGGGUCCUGUCGGUAAUAGGCAUGGGCGGUAUGGCUCCCUUCUUACAGACGGCACUGUCAGCUCCAGCCCUGAGCCCAGCCAUCACAAACACCGUAGCUACAAACACCUUGACCAGAGCCACAGGCCCACCCAUAGCCCACCUUCAUCUCCACACACCCAGCAACCCCAGCUACCCCACCGCACCCCAAUCCGCACACACUCCCCUCCUCCAGUGCCAGGGCCCGAGUCGGAGUCUCCCUCCAGCAAGUCUGACUCAUCCCGGAACAGAGACCGAGACACGGCCAGCCCCAGCUCCGAGCAGAGCAACCGCCACAACCGGUCAACCUACCGCUGGCAUCCAAAGCCACACAGGACCUUGACAGGUGACACAGGCGAACUCCAGGCACUGCAGGAGGAGAAUGCUGAGCUGCACCAGAACCUGAUGCAAACAGUGGUCUGCAUCGAGAGCCUGGAGGCGGAGCUAGCCAGGGCCAGGGAGGAGCUUAGCCACAUGAAGGAGAAGUUCAAGAGGCUCCAGGACACACACACAGGUACCCAGCACACCAACAGCCUUCUGGGGGAGAAACUGCACUCAGCGACUGAGAGCCUUAGCUCUGAGAGGAAGUAUAUGGUGCAGCGUAUCGCCCAUCUCAGCACAGAGCUGGAGCAGGCCAACGCCACCAUCGCCUCUCUGGAGAACAUCAAUGUUCCCUGUCUGAUCAAGGAGCUCCUAGAGAAGCACUUUGACUCUGGAGACACUGUCAAGCAGUUCCUGAAGAACGCCUUGAAAACCGGCCAAUCCACAAGCGACAUCCAAUCACCUGCUACAAAACUGGAGCAGAAGCCAUCUGAUUGGUCAGGUGCAGGACUCAGGGAGUUUGAGGCGGGUCCACAAAAGGUCACUGCUUUUAUGCCCUGGAAGCAGGAGGAGGGGUUUGGGGUGAUAGGUCAGACAGGAAAUGAGGAUUCUCGCCCGAUGAGUCCCCCUUUCUCCGUCGCUGACAUCAGUAUGGCUAUCUAUAAGAAACUAGCUGCCAGCCAAGCGGCAAGACAGCCCCGGCCUUCCAACUACCAACCUCACACUGACACCCCUCCCAACCCCUACCCUCUGGUGGAGUUGGGUACAGGGGGUGCAGGAGGUGCAUGGGAGGAGGGUUACCUUGUGCCUGCUGUCAAGGAGGGCAUGGCAGUUGCAGGGAGAGCAGCUGAGAGUAAGCAGGGUGCUGUUGUUGAUGUGUCCUAUCUGACGGCCCAGAGGGUUCUGGAUGACUUCAUGCACCAGCUGACACACCCAGAGGAUGGGAGCGCAGGUGGGGAGAGGGGGCAUAAGGCCAACGGGGGAGGGGGAACAACUGAAGAGAAGGGGGCAGAGUGAAACGAACCUAUGAAUUGCUGUAAUUGUAACCUUAUAUUACAUAGGCUAGGAUUGUUCAAGAUGUGAUGGUUUGUUUGUGAUGGUUUGAGGCCUGUAGUUCUGCAUUUAUUUAACAUUUUAAUGUCACUAUACAUUUGAGUGAUGGCAUUGUAAAUAUUACAUUCUGUUUCUUUCCCAAAUGUCUUGUGGUGCAGUUGUAAAGAAAGUAUUAGACUUAAACAAUUAAUUGAACUAUAUACAGAAUAUAAUUAUUAAUCCAAAUUUGCAAUGUGAUACAGUCCAUCCUUUUCCUUGUGAAGUGAUGCAGAAUUUAAAUGUUUUGUUAAUGCCUAGACAGUGAGUAGAAUUUUCUAUUUUAUAACAAUGACCGCUAUUUUGUAAGCUCCAGUAAGCCAAUGAAGGAACCUUCAUAUCUGAAUAACAUCGAUCCAGCUGGCAUUAACGUAUUACCCACUGUGUUUUGGGCUAUCAUGUCACAUGACCUAGAGUUUAACCUUUAUUUUAAGCCUUUUCCAGAAAUGAGAACUAUGAAAGCAAUUGUCUGAGGAUGGUGUCGGAGGAUGCUGCUGGACCAUCUGACAUAAAAAGAAAAGGGGACAGUUUGAUGAAAAAAUUUAAAUAAAGGUUCAAAUCCAGGUCUUGUGACAUGACUGUGCAAAACACAGGGCCCUACAUUAACGCUAUGCUGUCCAUCCUAAUGAACUGUCUUAGCUAAAACUGUAUAAAGCUGCUGUCCCCCCCAAGACUUUUGAUGUUGUAGAUUAAUAAAAUGACUAAUUCUAAA
rnacentral:lncRNA from 1 species